CAGCCGCCGCGGUAAUACGAAGGGGGCUAGCGUUGUUCGGAUUUACUGGGCGUAAAGGGUGCGUAGGCGGAUUGUUAAGUCAGGGGUGAAAUCCCGAGGCUCAACCUCGGAACUGCCUUUGAUACUGGCGAUCUUGAGUCCGGGAGAGGUGAGUGGAACUGCGAGUGUAGAGGUGAAAUUCGUAGAUAUUCGGAAGAACACCAGUGGCGAAAGCACUCUGCUGGGCCGACACUGACACUGAGAGACGAAAGCUAGGGGAGCAAAUGGGAUUAGAUACCCGCGUAGUCCCUGUCUCUUAUAC
rnacentral:rRNA from 1 species